rnacentral:tRNA from 1 species
UGUCCCUUGGUGCAACGGUAGCACAUCUGGCUCUGACCCAGUAGAUAGGAGUUCGAAUCUCUUGGGGACAA